CUGGGGACCACAGAGAGCUCC
rnacentral:miRNA from 1 species